CACUGCUUUGCUUUCUGAGCUCCAGGGGAAGGAGAAAGUUGUUGCCAGACUUUCUCAGAGGGCCAGUCCACUCCAGAUGUAAGAAGAUGAAAUCUGACGGGUCAUGAGAUGAUUAACGGGAGAGUUUGGAUCUGUGUGCUCCACGAAGAAGCGGCCUGCUCAAGGGUCGAUGCGAAAGGCCAACAGUUUGUCGGAGUGCAGAUUGUUGAGGGUGCGCAGGUCCGGCAGGCGCAGGAGGAGUUUGGGGAAGAGGGCG